UAAUACGAAGGGGGCUAGCGUUGCUCGGAAUCACUGGGCGUAAAGCGCACGUAGGCGGGUCGUUAAGUCAGAGGUGAAAGCCUGGAGCUCAACUCCAGAACUGCCUUUGAUACUGGCGACCUCGAGUUCGAGAGAGGUUGGUGGAACUCCGAGUGUAGAGGUGAAAUUCGUAGAUAUUCGGAAGAACACCAGUGGCGAAGGCGGCCAACUGGCUCGAUACUGACGCUGAGGUGCGAAAGCGUGGGGAGCAAACAGG
rnacentral:rRNA from 1 species